UGAGUGUCUCCUGUGCGAGUGCUCUGUGACCGUCCUUGCGAGUGAAAGAACUGCAGUGUUUUGUGUUUUCUAACUCAGGAGUCUUGGCUGAAGAGAGAACGGCAGGGUGAUUUAAAGAAAUCCCCUGUCAUUUAAAUUGGUCCUUCGAGCCUAGCGAUGGAAACAACAGACACGUUUCUGUGACUCCAAUAAGGUCUGACUGCUGCAUCCUGACGUCGUGGGUAAACCAGCACCGAAGUCUGUCGACAGCCCUCUCCAGGUAGAGGUGAGAGUCCUGGAACGUUGAAUUCGGGUCCAGGCCGGUGAUUUAGUUCUGGUCCACGACAUUGGGAUCCAGAUGACCUGAACAACCAGCAAAAGACGACUGAGGUGUGUCAAUACAGGUGGAUUUCUCUCAACCUGGAACCUUGAGUACAGCGGCAAAAGCAUAGAUUAAUUGGGAAAACAAGCCACUUUUUGGCUAAAAUUUUACAGCUUGACCUCUCACUUUGUCCCGACCCUGAGAAGAAGCUCAAAGGACAGUUAAUCUCCUGAUGAAGACCGACAGAACAUCGUGGACUUGAAGAAUUAACAGCAGGCAAAAGACAGUGCAAAUGAAACAAGUCUGACUGACAACUGCAACAGCAGAAUGAAAGAAACCACGUGAUGAAAACAUGCACGAGGAAACUGCAGGCUGGUAAAGAACAGUGUCACAUGACUGUUCGAAGGCACUGAACAUGAUAUUUUGCCGGGCUGGAACUUAACUUAAAAGAAGAAUACUGAAAGAUCAAAACAGAGAAGAAACAGACUGUGUUUGUUGGAGCUUUGAAGGCCACACAAGGACACUGUGAAAAAGGGACGAGGACUGAUGGGAGGUGAAACAGGACAAGUUCGAGUGCAAGAAUACAGGAUAUGAUUGGAUUGAAAUUGAAGGCUGAACUCACGAUUGUUUAGAGAUGUCCACCACAUCACAAACAAAAGAAGGUGGUAACUGGCGUCUCACUACUGGCAACGGCUCUGCUCAUCACACUAUCCACCCAGGAAGAAGGAAGAAUUCAAACUCUGGACAACUGGACAAAAUGUACUCAACUCACUCUUCCUGUGGGCAGGAGUUGGGAAAACGUGCUCUCAGAAGUGAGAUACUGGACUAUAGAUUCGGCUUGUUUCUCAAAGCAUCCUGGAAGGUCAACGAGGGACAAAACCAAGAAAUAGACGCUCUCAGAGUUGCUGUGAUGCAACAUCGUGUAGCACUGCACAUGAUCCUGGCUGAGAAAGGAGGAUUGUGUGUCUUAUUCAACACCACAUGCUGCACUUACAUACCAGAUAAUGUACAUUCUUCAGACAUGACUUCAGAUUUUAAAGAGACCGUUGAUUGUCGUUGGACUUUUCCUGAUUUUAUUUUGUUUUCUUUAUUUGAGUUAUUCCUUGUUUAAAAGCUGUAAUUUCACAGAUGAUAAGUUUAUCAUUCACAGCAUACGCAGAUGUACUGAAAUCAAUGAAGAUCAUGAAGACUUCUUUUCCUAUUUGACAGAUGAAGAUGAAGUGUAACUAAUGAUGUAGUAACUGAGAAUGUGAAAGACAAGUAGUUACUCACUGAUGAAUUGUACAUUUCAUUUCGUGAUCAACAGGAGGGAAUGUCAAAGGAAAAUCGUGUAUUUUGUGAUCAGCUAACAUGAAAUGUAUUCUUUAUUGAUCAUUAAGCACAUGUCUACGUGACUUUUCACCUAAUAACUUUUGACAUGAACUCUUCUGUGAUAAACAACUUACAGCUUCCUCUUUCUGUUUUGGAACAUACAGACUUAGAAAAGGGGAACCUCAGCUCUGAGUUCUGAGAAUAACUCUGUUAUCUUUGUACACACACACACACACACACACACACACACAGAAACAUCUUGUAUAAAUAAAGAAAC
ensembl:lncRNA